rnacentral:lncRNA from 1 species
UGCGCAUCAAGUGGGCUACAGUUUGUAGAUGCUGCCUGUUGUUUGCUCUUGUUUUCAUUCACGCUCUUCCUCACUUUUGGUUUCUGUCUUCCUGGUAUGUUGGAACGGUUCCAUGAGCCGCAUCACCACAUUUUCGGACGGUCUCUCUCCAUUGGGACGACUGGGGUCCUUGCUGAGGUACUUCACUUUUUCUCCAACGGUUCAAAAACAUUCAUUUGAGGUUGACUGCUG